UUGGGCACUCUAGCGAGACUGCCGGUAAUAAACCGGAGGAAGGUGGGGGAGUGAUGUCAAAUCAUCAUGCCCUUAUGACCUGGGUUACACACGUGCUACAAUGGUUGGUACAACGAGUUGCGAGUCGGUGACGGCGAGCUAAUCUCUUAAAGCCAAUCUCAGUUCGGAUUGUAGGCUGCAACUCGCCUACAUGAAGUCGGAAUCGCUAGUAAUCGCGGAUCAGCACGCCGCGGUGAAUACGUUCCCGGGCCUU
rnacentral:rRNA from 1 species